rnacentral:misc_RNA from 1 species
UACAAGAUGGCAGCAACAUCAGCAGCAACUUUUUCAAUUGGAGCAGCCAUCUCCUUUGGGCCUAAAGCAAGCCAACUUCCACAGUCAAAGCCAUCUGCUAUGAGGUUCAGCUCCCAGAACUCACUUACAAGCUUCAGCGGUCUUAAGGCAUCAACCUUUGUGAACUGUGAAUCAGAGUCAUCCUUCUUAGGCAAGGAAAGUGCCAUUGCCCUUCGAGGAUCUUUUACUUCAAAAGCCCAAAAAUCAAGCCAUAGGUCACAGUAUCACCUAAACCUCCAGGCAUCUUACAAAGUGGCGAUUCUUGGAGCUGCUGGAGGGAUAGGUCAGCCGCUUGCACUUCUAAUCAAGAUGUCCCCAUUAGUUUC